UCAAGCUACUAAGGGCACACGGUGGAUGCCUUGGCGCCAGAGGCCGAUGAAGGACGCUGCCGGCGGCGAAAGGUCCGGGGAGCUGCCUAGCAAGCGUUGAUCCGGACGUUUCCGAAUGGGGGAACCUGGCUGGGGCAAACCCCAGUCAUCCUGUGCGGAAUCCAUAGGCACAGGAGGGCCAGUGGGGGAACUGAAACAUCUCAGUACCCCGAGGAAAAGAAAUCAACAGCGGGCUCUGCGGGGUCCACCAGGGCUCCGUGGGGUCCCUGAGAUUCCCCGAGUAGUGGCGAGCGAAAGGGGAAGAGCCCAAACCGUCGGUGUGCACAAGCCCUCAGGCGUUGCACCGGCGGGGUUGUGGGCCAUGGCCGGGCCGGGCUGAGGACCGGCCGGGAAGUUACAAAUCCUGUGUCUAGCCGAACCGUCCUGGAACGGCGGGCCACAGAGGGUGAAAGCCCCGUAGGCGAAAGGCACGGGACUUCCUGGGCCAUGGACCCGAGUACCGCGGGACACGUGGAAUCCCGCGGGAAGCUGGGGGGACCACCCUCCAAGGCUAAAUACCUCUGACGACCGAUAGUGCACGAGUACCGUGAGGGAAAGGUGAAAAGAACCCCGGGAGGGGAGUGAAAGAGAACCUGAAACCGUGUGCCUACAACCAGUCGGAGGGCUAUGCCGGCGUCCCCUCGGGGAUGCCGGAACGCCUGACGGCGUGCCUAUUGAAGAAUGAGCCGGUGAGUUACGGUGUGCAGCGAGCUUAAGGGGGCAAACCCCGGAGGCGUAGGGAAACCGAGUCUGAACAGGGCGCCGCUCCCGGAUGGGAGGUCAGGACUCCGUCCUGACAGUUGCACGCCGUAGACCCGAAACCGGGCGAGCUACCCAUGGCCAGGGUGAAGUCCCGCUAAUCCGGGAUGGAGGCCCGCACCCGUCGGUGUUGCAAAACCGUGGGAUGAGCUGUGGGUAGGGGUGAUAUGCCAAUCGAGCCCGGAGAUAGCUGGUUCUCCCCGAAAUGCAUUGAGGUGCAGCCUCGGGAAGCGUAGCCGUGCGGAGGUAGAGCACUGGAUGGGCUAGGGGGGCAGAAGCCCUACCGAACUCAACCAAACUCCGAAUGCCGCACGAGCGGUUCCCGGGAGUGAGACUACGGGGGAUAAGCUCCGUGGUCGAGAGGGGAACAGCCCAGACCGUCGGCUAAGGUCCCAAAGCGCUGGCUAAGUGGAGAAGGAAGUGGCAUCGCGAAGACAGCCAGGAGGUUGGCUUAGAAGCAGCCAUCCUUUAAAGAGUGCGUAAUAGCUCACUGGUCGAGCGAUGCUGCGCCGAAAAUUCAACGGGGCUCAAGCCAGCCACCGAAGCCACGGGUCCGCAGGAGAGGGCUCCUGCGGGCGGUAGGGGAGCGUUCCGCGCUAGGGUGAAGGCGGACCGUGAGGACCGCUGGACGAGGCGGAAGUGAGAAUGCCGGCAUGAGUAGCGAAAAGGCAGGUGAGAAUCCUGCCCGCCGUAAGCCUAAGGGUUCUUAAGGAAGGGUCGUCCGCUUAAGGUUAGGCGGGACCUAAGGCGAGGCCGAAAGGCGUAGCCGAUGGACAGCCGGUCGACAUUCCGGCCCCACCUAGACAUCGUUUGGAGCCGAGGGGGGACGCAGAAGGGUAGGCCUACCGGGUGGUGGAAGUCCCGGGCCAAGCCCGUAGGGGGGAGGGGUAGGCAAAUCCGCUCCUCCGGGUAAGACCCGACCCCGAGAGGCGAGUGCGAGCUGGGGUGAAUACCCCGGCGAAGUGGCCGAGCCCACGCUGCCGAGAAAAGCCUCGCGGUGAGAUGUCUAGGUGCCCGUACCGCAAACCGACACAGGUAGGCAGGCACUUAACGUGCCAAGGCGCGCGGGAGAACCCUCCUCAAGGAACUCGGCAAAAUGACCCCGUAACUUCGGAAGAAGGGGUGCCCCGUGUAGGGUGAGUGGCUCGCGCCACGAGCCUGAGGGGGCCGCAGAGAAUAGGCCCAGCCGACUGUUUAACAAAAACACAGGUCUCUGCUAACCCGUAAGGGGAAGUAUAGGGGCUGACGCCUGCCCAGUGCCGGAAGGUUAAGGGGAUGGGUUAGUCCGCUGGCUCGUCCGGCGGGCGACGCCCGGAACCGAAGCCCCGGUGAACGGCGGCCGUAACUAUAACGGUCCUAAGGUAGCGAAAUUCCUUGUCGGGUAAGUUCCGACCUGCACGAAAGGCGUAACGAGCUGGGCGCUGUCUCGAGGAGGGACCCGGCGAAGUUGUAGUACCCGUGAAGAUACGGGUUACCCGCGGCUGGACGGAAAGACCCCGUGGAGCUUUACUGCAGCCUGCUAUUGGAUUUGGCUUUAGCAUGUAUAGGAUAGGUGGGAGGCGGAGAAGCGGGGGCGCCAGCCUCCGUGGAGCCACCCUUGGAAUACCACCCUUGUUAAAGCUAAGUCCUAACCUGUGACCUGAUCGGCCACAGGGACAGUGGCAGGUGGGCAGUUUGACUGGGGCGGUCGCCUCCUAAACGGUAACGGAGGCGCCCAAAGGUCCCCUCAGCACGGUUGGAAACCGUGCGUCGAGUGCAAGGGCAUAAGGGGGCUUGACUGUGAGGCCUACAAGCCGAGCAGGGGCGAAAGCCGGGCCUAGUGAUCCUACGGCGGCAAGUGGGAGCGCCGUGGCUUAACGGAUAAAAGCUACCCCGGGGAUAACAGGCUGAUCUCCCCCGAGAGUCCACAUCGACGGGGAGGUUUGGCACCUCGAUGUCGGCUCAUCGCAUCCUGGGGCUGCAGUAGGUCCCAAGGGUUGGGCUGUUCGCCCAUUAAAGCGGUACGUGAGCUGGGUUCAGAACGUCGUGAGACAGUUCGGUCCCUAUCCACCGCGGGCGCAGGAGGCUUGAGGGGAGCCGCUCCUAGUACGAGAGGACCGGAGUGGACGGACCUCUGGUGUACCGGUUGUCCCGCCAGGGGCACGCGCCGGGUAGCCAUGUCCGGACGGGAUAAGCGCUGAAAGCAUCUAAGCGCGAAGCCCACCCCAAGAUGAGGCCUCCCACGGCGUCAAGCCGGUAAGGCCCCAGGUAGGCCACCUGGUUGAUAGGCCGGAGGUGUAAGGGCUGUAAGGCCUUGAGCCGACCGGUACUAAUCGGCCGAGGGCUUGAGCAC
rnacentral:rRNA from 1 species